rnacentral:rRNA from 1 species
UAGGGAAUAUUGCACAAUGGAGGAAACUCUGAUGCAGCCAUGCCGCGUGUGUGAAGAAGGCCUUCGGGUUGUAAAGCACUUUCGGAGGGGAGGAACAAAUGACGUUACCCUCAGAAGAAGCACCGGCUAACUCCGUGCCAGCAGCCGCGGUAAUACGGAGGGUGCAAGCGUUAAUCGGAAUAACUGGGCGUAAAGGGCAUGCAGGCGGUUUAUCAAGUAGGAUGUGAAAGCCCCGGGCUCAACCUGGGAAUUGCAUUCUAAACUGAUAGACUAGAGUAUUGCAGGGGGAGACGGAAUUCCAGGUGUAGCGGUGGAAUGCGUAGAUAUCUGGAAGAACACCAAAGGCGAAGGCAGUCUCCUGGGCAAAUACUGACGCUCAUAUGCGAAAGCGUGGGUAGCAAACAGGAUUAGAUACCCUGGUAGU